AUAACGGAAAGGGCUCGACAAAGUAGCGGGGGAGGAGGGGUGGCCGGCUGUUUUACACGAAGUCUUGCCACUCAAGGUCUGCAUGCAACAAUUGGCAAGAAACAAAAGUACUGAAGCAUUGCGAUGUGUUGCCUGGUGGACAAGGCAUGGAGCAGGAAACAUGGAUCGACAGUGGGGUACAGAAGGAAGUGCAGAGUCACAGUAAACCCUGAAAAUUUAAUGGAUGUCCUAUAAGAAUUAAGGGAAUGGGAAGAACAGAAAGAGAUAAUGAACAGUGACCUGGAAGGAAAUCAGCAGCAUUUCUUCAGGACAUUACAAGAUAUUGUGGGCUUGGGCCGGCUUGUCAUCCCAGCCAAU